CAUUUAUGAAUUGCUUCUCGUGAAACAUCCCAAAGUGAUUUGCAGAACUGUAUCAUUUAUUUUAAAAAACAGUUGCACAUUUUAUAUAUGUUAUUAUUCUGCAAAUCGCUUUGGGGGAAUUUCACAGGAAACAAUUUAUAAAUG